UACGGAGGGGGCAAGCGUUGUCCGGACUUACUGGGCGUAAAGGGUGCGUAGGCGGCCUGCUGCGUCGGUGCUGAAAGCGCCCGGCUUAACCGGGCGAGGCGUGCCGAUACGAGCGGGCUGGAGCCUUGGCGAGGGUGGCGGAACUCCUGGUGUAGUGGUGAAAUGCGUAGAGAUCUGGAGGAACACCGAUGGCGAAGGCAGCCCCCUGGGCUAACACUGACGCUCAUGCACGAAAGCGUGGGGAGCAAACAGG
rnacentral:rRNA from 1 species